ACAUGCUUGAUAUAUAUAUAUACACACACAGUAAAAUUCAUCGGUUCAGAAAAUAGUAUCUUAAUAUUUAUCCUUUCUUUUUAUUUAUGUAACAUAAUUUAGAGAUUCUUAAACUCUUGAUCAACUGGGCUAAGCCUCCAAUCAACCAGUCAAAACCCGCCACAUAACCAAACUCAGAGGCAUGCAAAGUCCCUCAAAUUUCAAACUCUUUUCUCAAUUGCCGGC
rnacentral:lncRNA from 1 species